CAACUUCCUUCUCAAUCCGUACUUAUAACCUAUAAAAAGGAUAUGAUGCACAAACUUUCCUCGUACAUAAUUUGCGUGUGAAAAGCACUCAGAAUCAUUGUGUAGAAAUAGGAUACCGUAUUCCGGUGUUAAAAUGUUUGCAACCUUUGUCAAUUUGGAAGUACCAUUUUAAGGUGUUAUCUAUGCAAAUAGUCACAUCACUGUUUUGAUGAUGAAGUAUUUCAAAUAUCGACGUUAAAAUUUUGUUACUUGCUUUCGUUCUUUUUUACGGUAUAUGGGAGACAAGCUGCUGUGAUAAAAGUUGCACUACAUCUGGAGAGAAUAGUUCCUGUAAUAUGAGAAAGCGUAGAUCUGCAGAUCCCAGGAACGUGACGAAAACAGAAAUUCUCAAAAGGAUUGGAACACAAUUUAGCAUAAUGCUUGAAGAUAAUCCAUGCGUAUUUGAAACCUACGACAUUGAUGGAGACGGACUUAUCCUUAGAGAAGAAACUCGAAUCUAUAUUUUGGUGUGAAAAAGGAAACG